ACCAGUGUGGUGUAGUGGUUUGAGCACUGGACUAGGAUUCUGGAGAUCAGGGUUCAAAAACCUGCUGGUG